rnacentral:rRNA from 1 species
CCUACGGGCGGCUGCAGUGGGGAAUAUUGGACAAUGGGGCAACCCUGAUCCAGCCAUGCCGCGUGUGUGAAGAAGGCCCUCGGGUUGUAAAGCACUUUCAGUGAGGAAGAACGCCUGGUGGUUAAUACCCAUCAGGAAAGACAUCACUCACAGAAGAAGCACCGGCUAACUCCGUGCCAGCAGCCGCGGUAAUACGGAGGGUGCGAGCGUUAAUCGGAAUUACUGGGCGUAAAGCGCGCGUAGGUGGCUUGAUAAGCCGGUUGUGAAAGCCCCGGGCUCAACCUGGGAACGGCAUCCGGAACUGUCAAGCUAGAGUGCAGGAGAGGAAGGUAGAAUUCCCGGUGUAGCGGUGAAAUGCGUAGAGAUCGGGAGGAAUACCAGUGGCGAAGGCGGCCUUCUGGACUGACACUGACACUGAGGUGCGAAAGCGUGGGUAGCAAACAGGAUUAGAUACCCCUGUAGUC